rnacentral:hammerhead_ribozyme from 1 species
AUCCUACUGACGAGUCCCAAAUAGGACGAAACGCGCAUCCUGAAU